rnacentral:rRNA from 1 species
CCUACGGGAGGCAGCAGUAGGGAAUAUUGCACAAUGGGCGAAAGCCUGAUGCAGCAACGCCGCGUGCGCGAAGAAGGCCUUCGGGUUGUAAAGCGCUUUUCUGGAGGAAGAGGAAGGACGGUACUCCAGGAAUAAGGAUCGGCUAACUACGUGCCAGCAGCCGCGGUAACACGUAGGAUCCGAGCGUUAUCCGAAUUUACUGGGCGUAAAGCGCGUGUAGGCGGUCGGGUAAGUUGGACGUGAAAGCUCCUGGCUCAACUAGGAGAGGUCGUUCAAAACUGCCUGGCUAGAGGGCGACAGAGGGAGGUGGAAUUCCCGGUGUAGUGGUGAAAUGCGUAGAUAUCGGGAGGAACACCAGUGGCGAAGGCGGCCUCCUGGGUCGCACCUGACGCUCAGACGCGAAAGCUAGGGGAGCGAACGGGAUUAGAUACCCCGGUAGUCCUAGCUGUAAACGAUGUGGACUUGGCGUUGGUGGGGUUAAAUCCAUCAGUGCCGGAGCUAACGCGAUAAGUCCACCGCCUGGGGACUACGGUCGCAAGAUUAAAACUCAAAGGAAUGACGGAAUCUCGACUGAGAGACUUA